GGUUUACGACCCGAUGUUGGAUCAGGACACCCAAAUGGUGCAACCGCUAUUAAAGGUUCGUUUGUUCAACGAUUAAAGUCCCACGUGAUCUGAGUUCAGACAGGAGAAAUCCAGGUCGGUUUCUAUCUGUAAAUUCAUUUCUCCCAGUACGAAAGGACAAGAGAAAUAGGGCCAACGUCCCCAAUAAGCCCUAGAACUAACAUAUGAAUCAAUCUAAAUAUACUAACUCAAUUUAUACUUCUCCCCAAGAACAGGGCUAUUAAGAUGGCAGAGUUGAUAAUCGCAUAAAGUUUAAGCCUUUACUCCCAGAGGUUCAAACCCU
rnacentral:ncRNA from 1 species